AUUGAACGCUGGCGGCAGGCCUAACACAUGCAAGUCGAGCGGAUGAAGGGAGCUUGCUCCUGGAUUCAGCGGCGGACGGGUGAGUAAUGCCUAGGAAUCUGCCUGGUAGUGGGGGAUAACGUCCGGAAACGGGCGCUAAUACCGCAUACGUCCUGAGGGAGAAAGUGGGGGAUCUUCGGACCUCACGCUAUCAGAUGAGCCUAGGUCGGAUUAGCUAGUUGGUGGGGUAAAGGCCUACCAAGGCGACGAUCCGUAACUGGUCUGCGAGGAUGAUCAGUCACACUGGAACUGAGACACGGUCCAGACUCCUACGGGAGGCAGCAGUGGGGAAUAUUGGACAAUGGGCGGAAGCCUGAUCCAGCCAUGCCGCGUGUGUGAAGAAGGUCUUCGGAUUGUAAAGCACUUUAAGUUGGGAGGAAGGGCAGUAAGUUAAUACCUUGCUGUUUUGACGUUACCAACAGAAUAAGCACCGGCUAACUUCGUG
rnacentral:rRNA from 1 species